rnacentral:rRNA from 1 species
AACGAACGCUGGCGGCAGGCUUAACACAUGCAAGUCGAACGCAUGCCUUCGGGCAUGAGUGGCAGACGGGUGAGUAACGCGUGGGAACCUACCCCUUGGUACGGGAUAGCUCCGGGAAACUGGAGAUAAUACCGUAUGUGUCCUGAGGGACAAAGAUUCAUCGCCAAGGGAUGGGCCCGCGUCGGAUUAGCUAGUUGGUGGGGUAACGGCCUACCAAGGCGACGAUCCGUAGCUGGUCUAAGAGGAUGAUCAGCCACAAUGGGACUGAGACACGGCCCAAACUCCUACGGGAGGCAGCAGUGGGGAAUAUUGGACAAUGGGCGCAAGCCUGAUCCAGCCAUGCCGCGUGAGUGAUGAAGGCCCUAGGGUUGUAAAGCUCUUUCACCGGUGACGAUAAUGACGGUAACCGGAGAAGAAGCCCCGGCUAACUUCGUG